rnacentral:rRNA from 1 species
UACGGAGGGGGCUAGCGUUGUCCGGAAUUAUUGGGCGUAAAGAGCUCGUAGGCGGCCUGUCGCGUCUGCUGUGAAAUCCCGAGGCUCAACCUCGGGCCUGCAGUGGGUACGGGCAGACUAGAGUGCGGUAGGGGAGAUUGGAAUUCCUGGUGUAGCGGUGGAAUGCGCAGAUAUCAGGAGGAACACCGAUGGCGAAGGCAGAUCUCUGGGCCGUAACUGACGCUGAGGAGCGAAAGCGUGGGGAGCGAACAGG